CGAACUUCCGUUAAUUGAUUAUGACGUACUUGUACUGAUUGAGAUUUUAACACGAAGUGAGUGGCGAACGGGUGAGUAACACGUGGGUAACCUGCCCAGAAGUAGGGGAUAACACCUGGAAACAGAUGCUAAUACCGUAUAACAGAGAAAACCGCAUGGUUUUCUUUUAAAAGAUGGCUCUGCUAUCACUUCUGGAUGGACCCGCGGCGUAUUAGCUAGUUGGUGAGGUAAAGGCUCACCAAGGCAGUGAUACGUAGCCGACCUGAGAGGGUAAUCGGCCACAUUGGGACUGAGACACGGCCCAGACUCCUACGGGAGGCAGCAGUAGGGAAUCUUCCACAAUGGACGCAAGUCUGAUGGAGCAACGCCGCGUGAGUGAAGAAGGGUUUCGGCUCGUAAAGCUCUGUUGUUAAAGAAGAACGUGGGUAAGAGUAACUGUUUACCCAGUGACGGUAUUUAACCAGAAAGCCACGGCUAACUACGUGCCAGCAGCCGCGGUAAUACGUAGGUGGCAAGCGUUAUCCGGAUUUAUUGGGCGUAAAGCGAGCGCAGGCGGUCUUUUAAGUCUAAUGUGAAAGCCUUCGGCUCAACCGAAGAAGUGCAUUGGAAACUGGGAGACUUGAGUGCAGAAGAGGACAGUGGAACUCCAUGUGUAGCGGUGAAAUGCGUAGAUAUAUGGAAGAACACCAGUGGCGAAGGCGGCUGUCUGGUCUGCAACUGACGCUGAGGCUCGAAAGCAUGGGUAGCGAACAGGAUUAGAUACCCUGGUAGUCCAUGCCGUAAACGAUGAUUACUAAGUGUUGGAGGGUUUCCGCCCUUCAGUGCUGCAGCUAACGCAUUAAGUAAUCCGCCUGGGGAGUACGACCGCAAGGUUGAAACUCAAAAGAAUUGACGGGGGCCCGCACAAGCGGUGGAGCAUGUGGUUUAAUUCGAAGCUACGCGAAGAACCUUACCAGGUCUUGACAUCUUCUGACAGUCUAAGAGAUUAGAGGUUCCCUUCGGGGACAGAAUGACAGGUGGUGCAUGGUUGUCGUCAGCUCGUGUCGUGAGAUGUUGGGUUAAGUCCCGCAACGAGCGCAACCCUUAUUACUAGUUGCCAGCAUUAAGUUGGGCACUCUAGUGAGACUGCCGGUGACAAACCGGAGGAAGGUGGGGACGACGUCAAAUCAUCAUGCCCCUUAUGACCUGGGCUACACACGUGCUACAAUGGAUGGUACAACGAGUCGCGAGACCGCGAGGUUAAGCUAAUCUCUUAAAACCAUUCUCAGUUCGGACUGUAGGCUGCAACUCGCCUACACGAAGUCGGAAUCGCUAGUAAUCGCGGAUCAGCAUGCCGCGGUGAAUACGUUCCCGGGCCUUGUACACACCGCCCGUCACACCAUGAGAGUUUGUAACACCCAAAGCCGGUGGGGUAACC
rnacentral:rRNA from 1 species